AUUCCCUUCUGUUACAUGGAUUAAAAUUCCUAUCUCCCACGUUUUGUUUCAUCGUUUCAGUUUCAACUUCUGUUUUGGCUUCUAACAGUAGCCUCUCUGUCUUCCUUCCUCUCCUCACAUCUAUAUAAAUACUGAUAUAUAAGAGGGGAGGAGUCUGGCUUUUUGGUUCUUUGGAUCUGAAGGAAAGAGGAAACAUUUUGAAAAUUAGGCUACUUAUUGGCCUUAAUAAAUAGAUAAAUCGUCAAAUAUUUAGAAACAAAUUAAAAGUUGCAUGUAACUUUGCAAUAUGAACUAAACAUUUCACUUGCAUAUCUCUUUUUCAACCACAAAGUGUACCAACAAUGAGAAGUUCUAUUUUGAAAGGAAACUUAACUGGGAAAUAAAUGUGCUUGCUAGAGGAGCAAUGAUCUAUAAUUUUGUUGCUUUCGCAAGACCGGAA